GAUGAACGCUAGCGGCAGGCCUAACACAUGCAAGUCGAGCGGUAACAUUUCUAGCUUGCUAGAAGAUGACGACCGGCGCACGGGUGCGUAACGCGUAUACAACCUACCUUUUAGCGGGGAAUAGCCCAGGGAAACUUGGAUUAAUGCCCCAUAGUAUAUAGACUUCUCCUGAAGUUUAUAUUAAACAUUUAUGGCUAUUAGAUGGGUAUGCGUCCUAUUAGUUAGUUGGUAAGGUAACGGCUUACCAAGGCAGCGAUAGGCAGGGGUCCUGAGAGGGAGAUCCCCACACUGGUACUGAGACACGGACCAGACUCCUACGGGAGGCAGCAGUGAGGAAUAUUGGACAAUGGGCGAGAGCCUGAUCCAGCCAUGCCGCGUGCAGGAAGACUGCCCUAUGGGUUGUAAACUGCUUUUACAGAGGAAGAACCACCCCCACGUGUGGGGGUUUGACGGUACUCUGCGAAUAAGGAUCGGCUAACUCCGUG
rnacentral:rRNA from 1 species